UUACGACCAUAUCACGUUGAAACACCGGUUUUCGUCCGAUCACCGAAGUUAAGGAACGUUGAACUUGGUCAGUACCUAGAUGGGUGACCGCACUGGAAUACCAGGUACUGUCAU